AUCUGGGAGGGUGAUCUGAGUGCUGAGGGACUGGAUAUCCCCAGUUCAGUGAUGCCAGCAAUAUCAGGAAGUGCCCCAGGUGUCCCAACACAUCCAUCUUUUCUAUUCAUCAACCACCAACCCAAUGUGAGAUUUUCACCUGACUUCCGAACUCUAUCAGAACUCUACACAUCUUUACCUUGCCUGAACCGAAGAGCCAACAUCUAUCUCUACACGGACUAAACCUCACUCUGUUCUUGCUUCCAACCAAGUAACUCCCAACUUAACUAGAGUUGUUCCCUAUGUUCCAAAUGAUUUAGACAAGUACUGGAGAGUAGUAUUACCUCUGCCCUGACUGUCUGUGACUGGGUCAUUCUCCACUGCAGCAAAAGGAUGGAUAUAAAUCGGAAGAAAGCCCUGACUAGUUUGUCUUAAAGCCAAAGCGUGCCACGUACGUACUUUGAUUCAUUGAAGUCAGUUUUUCCUGCUUCUCAGAGCGCCAGAAAGCAGCAUGCCCCUAAUGCUUGCAGGGACAUCAUCUGUGUGCACUGGAACGCUUUCUGGAGCUCAGUGUUUGGAGGCUGUAUCCCCAUAAUCCUGAAGACCUGGAGCAAACCCAGAACUUCCAGGAAGUCCCAAGGAAGGAUCCAGGACAGUUUCAGUAGGUCUCGAAAAUGAUAUAACACACUCCUGAUAUUGGAAACAUGGAUGAGUGACCUUUCUGGAUUGAAACUCCUCAGUUCUUCAUGUCUCAGUGUCUGUGGAUCAGUAUUAGUCCUCGUUUUACAGGAGGAAACUGAGACUCACACAAGGCUGAACAGGACAUUUAGGGGAUUAAACUGGGCCAGAGAUGACUUUCCUGCCACCAACCUCACACUCCCUGGGAUGAGAGGUAUUUUUGAGGACUCUAACAUUCAGCAUGCCAUUUGCCCAGCGGAAGCUGACUGCCACAGAUCUGAGGAACUGGAAACCAGGUAAGAAAACACAGACGGCAUGAGAUAGACUUCAGGAUUUCACACAAAGAUUUGUGAAUCUGAAGCAUCCUCCAGGAGAGACGGCACCCGAGGGCAAUAUCUCUGUGAUGAAAAAUGGUUUUAGUCUGAAAUGGACAGUCAACAGAGAGACAAAGAUGGGCGUGUAGCUUCUAAAUACCUCACCUGUAGAUGUCACGUUUGGGUACUGGUGUUUGUAAAGUCCCCCACCUCUACCCUCAUCCCCACCCAAGAGAACAGGGAACCAGUGACAAGAUGCUUAGUCAAUAUCUCUUUUUAAUGACUGUUCUAAAUGCAAUAUUCUUUAGCCCCUCCAGAUAGCAAGGGCAGAAGGCCUUAUGAUGUAUAAAAAGGUAAAAGUGAGACUCCAUAGGAGAAAUGUCCUCACCUCUGGGGAGAUCUGUAAGAAAGAACAUUCUCCACCCCUACCUGGCUUUGUAUGAAAAGCUCACCUUUCACUCCCAACAUUUCCUUCUUGGUGGAUGCCAGACAUGCGCUUUGGGAACCCCAUCCCACCCUACCUUUAUCUAGCUUGUUUAUACAUGGUGGCUUAUCUGGAAUCACAAUCGCAUUUCCUUAUAGGAGAUCAUGACUAUAACCUACAAGGCACGGCACUCACCAGCCAAUUAAAAUCUUUGCCAUCUCCAUUUCUUCCCAUAAUUCCACUUAGAAUCCUGGACUAGACAUGUGUGACUCUGGAGCCUUUCCUGGUGUGCUAUGGCUUACUAAAGGGCUUAGAAGAGUUCUCAAGGGCUAUAAUCAUCCAGAAACCCCAUUGUUUGUCUUGGUGCUGGGUAUUUGCCCGGACUGAUUCUCAAUAAUUUACUGAAGGUCAAACUAAGCUGAGUCUAGUUUUCCCCUUAUCCCUGCCUAACAGCUGUGAACUUGGUUACUCAGUUGGUCCUGAGAGCAUCUUGCCCUGUUGGCUUGGACGGUCAGCCAGGGGUUGUUACCGAGCCCCAAUCCCUAAGCGCUUGCUAUCUCAGGCUUUACUUUCAAUCUGUUUACACAUUAUUCUUUGGUUUCUCCACCCUCGGUCAACCGCACACCCCAGCUAUCUUUUGAGUUUCUGGGUUUGCUCUAGACAUCGAAAUAGAAUUGCAAGUAGAAAGGGAACUUUCCAGAGCAAGAUUAUGCUGAGAACGACAGGGGUGAGGUUAAAAGGCGUUAGGGCUAAGGUGAUAGCCCAGUGGGUAAAAUGCUUGCCACCCAAGCGUGAGAGUCUCAGUGUGAUCUCCAGAAUCCAUGUGAACAGACAGACAUUGUGGCACACAUUGGUCAUCCCAGAGCUGGGGAGGCAGAGACAGGAAGAUCUGAGCCUCACUAACCAGGCCACCUGGCCUAACUUACUUACUUGGCAAGCUCCAGGAGAGUGAGACGCUGUCUCAAAAAAAAAAAAAACACAAAUAAAAAAACCAACAAAGGUGGAUAGUGCCUGAGGAAUGACACCCGAGGUUGACUUCUGGCCUCCACAUAUACAUGUGCACAAGUUAAGGCCCAUAUUUAUAUUUACAUAAAGAUGCACGUGAGCAAUACACACACAUACACACACACCGAGAGAGAGAGAGAGAGAGAGAGAGAGAGAGAGAGAGAGAGAGAGAGAGAGAGAGAGAGAGAGAGAGAAAGCUUCCUCUCACUUGUUUUAUAAACGAAAAAGCCCUGGUUCUGUGACUUCACCCAGUCACUGCAAAUGUAUGUGACCAGGACCUUGGAGUGCCUGCUUAUCAUUCUGACCAUCCAAUCCCAUUGACUCAACGCUCUCUGUGUCAAGUACUAGGUUAGACUCUAGCUAGACCCCUUGGUCUUAGGCCUGUAGAAAUGUGCACAGGCCCAUGGUUCCAAUAAAGUCUCUCUGUUCGUGUCAAUAAAGUAUCUCUGAAGACCACUUGC
rnacentral:lncRNA from 1 species